AGUCAGAUGCUGCUGCCAACUUACAGAAAACCUGGUGCGCAGGAGAGAGGGGGGCGAGGCUGAGCUGCUCCCGCCCCAGCUCCCUGGCACCUCGGAAACAAAUCCAACAGGCAGCAGCCCGCCCCGGCUUCAGGGGCGUGUGGGUGCAGGGCAGGGGCUGAGCAGACACAAGACGGAAAGGCGAGGCUUUGCAGGGUGGGCACCCCCGGCACAGGUGAUGCCUGGUGGUGAUGCGGGGGGAGCCCGUGGUGAGCACCUCCAGGGAGAGACCACUGGAGCAGAAAUAAAACGCGCUUCCUCAGCUCUUCAAAGGCAGAGAAAACAAGGCUGCCUGGCUUCCCAGAACACGGUCCUCAAAGACACCUAACUUCUCCAUCUUGGGAAACAGAGUUCACGUUGGAGGCACCAGGUCUGGCUGUCUCUGAAGGUCAUGGACACUCGGAGGACACUAACAACUCAAGGCAAUUGCGACCGGAGCCACCGCUGUCCAGAGCAGCAGAUCUGAGGACCCUCGGGGGUGGCCAGGCUUUGAGGAUGAGGACGGGAGCACAAAGGCGGGAAAGGUUUGCUGACUCCUGCCUCAGAAGAAACUUGACUGGCUGGUGUUCUCUGUUUGCGGCAGCCUGUAGCCACUGAGUGUCACAGGACAUGAUACACCGCACAGUCUCUGCCCUCCAAUCAGCCAGCCCCCAUUAGCUUGUGAGUUGCCACCUGUCACUGCAAGUAUCGAAACUUCUCCAUCAUCUGUGCGACAAAUAGGCUGGAAAGACGAGGCCAGGGCCAGCCAUUUAUUGGUUUAUUAAGCCCUUGAGGAAGGAAGCAUUUGGAACUUUCCAUUCUCUCAGCAGCUUGAUGAUGUCUGUGAAGCUUUCUAGCAUUACCUGGAUGUCCUUUCCUAGGUUACUAUAAGGCUUCUCCUAAUAUGUUUUAAUCACAAUGAUGAUUAAAGCAAAAGGAUUGUGCUUACACACAGAUGAUUAUAUCAGCAGCUAUUCCUUCAGUGGGAGAAGGGGAAGUGGGCAGACAAUGCGGUGGAAUGAUGAGCCCAGUGUGCUUAGGAUGUUGUAAACGGUAACCAAAAUUAUCUCCUCAUCCAACAUGGCUGCCCAUCCCCACCCUUCACUCAACACGGCAGCCCAUACCCUCUUCUCACCUAACAAGUUGUCCAUAGCCUCCCCUCACUCAGCAUGGCUGUCCAUACUCUCCCUUCACCCAGCAUGGCCGCCCAUGCCCUCUCCUCACCCAACAUGGCUGCUCAUGCCCUCUCCUCAGCACAGCCGCCCAUGCCCUCUCCUCACCCAACAUGGCUGCUCAUGCCCUCUCCUCACCCAACAUGGCUGCCCAUGCCCUCUCCUCACCCAACAUGGCUGCUCAUGCCCUCUCCUCACCCAGCAUGGCCACCCAUGCCCUCUCCUCACCCAGCACUGCCGCCUGUGCCCUCUCCUCACCCAGCAUGGCCGCCCAUGCCCUCUCCUCACCCAGCAUGGCUGCCCAUGCCCUCUCCUCACCCAGCAUGGCUGCCCAUGCCCUCUCCUCACCCAGCACUGCUGCCCGUGCCCUCUCCUCACCCAGCAUGGCCGCCCAUGCCCUCUCCUCACCCAGCAUGGCUGCCCAUGCCCUCUCCUCAGCCAACAUGGCAUUUUUUUGGCCUCCCCCAAACCUGAGGUGGGGUGGACCCUCAGCAUCUUGACUUUAUGUGUAUUUGAAUGAAGAGGCUUACCACCUCUACCUGCUGAUAAAAAACUUUGCACUAGAGAAAUCAUGCAUGUGUGUGUGUGUGUGCACACGUGUUUAGGAUAUUGGAGAAUGAAGUUGAUUUCUUACCUCUCCUUGUUUUGUGUCAUUUAAAUAAUAUGUUUUUAGUUGCAUCACUUAAGGCACUCAAGGGCACCUCAGCGAUAGCCCAUGGGCCACCUGGUGUUAGUGUCCUUAGGUGACAUGCUUUGGAGACGUAUAGGAGCAGGCAUUCAUGGUUGGGGGCAGGCCAUAGAGGGGGGGUCCAAACUGUUGUUCCCAACCAAACAUCUGAGUCAGGGCUGAGAGCUUGAGGUUACAGCCAUGGUCCAGAAAGAAAAGGUCAGCAGGGAAAGAAGGAAAAGUGGAAGAGGAUCUGGGAGACUUCCAGGGACAGGAGGCAGCUUAUUUAUGAUCUUGGUAGUGUUGCAUGCUGCUUGUAAAAGCAAAUGAAAAGGCUUAUUAUUGACAAGUUUGUGAGGUCCUAGUGAAUCUUUAAGUAACAGCUUCAGAAAACAAAACAAAGCAAAAAGAUACAGCACAUGGGAGAGAAGCAACAAUACCUAUGUAUUUAUCUUAAUGGAACCUAGCAUCUGUUUUUUAAAAUAAUAAUUCCCGUAAGGUUCAUUUAUAAAUGCUCAAUGGGAAAUGGAACCAUAAGCUUCACAUCCAAGAGCCACAGGAAAAUAUUCCUUUCUACCCUAAAUCUGCAGCUUCCAAAGAGAUAUUGUAACUAUCAGGACAACUCUAGAUCUUAAAAAUGCACAUGGGAACCAUCUGUGUGGCUUGUGAAUAUAUGUGUAAAUUUCCUUGAUUCUAGCACCUUGAGAAAAGAGCUGAUUUCACAGAAAUUUUUCUAUUUCCACCUCUAAACAAGCUGUGCCACUCCUAUAGUUACAUCAGAUCUGCUAAUAUCCCACAAACCAUAUUUACUGAUCAGCACAUUCUCUCAUUAGCAAAGCCAUAGUAUGUCAGUCACCGUGUAGCUUGACAAGCCCAGGUUUGAACUGGUUAGAUCAUCGAACUGAGGCAUCCCAACAGGGACACAUACCCGGUCUUAGUCUGUUCAUGUUGCUACAACUAAAUACCACAGAUUGAGUAAUUCAUAAGCAAUGGAAAUUUAUUUCUGAUGAUUCUGGAGGCUGGGAAGUCCAAGAUCAAGGCAGCAGUAUUGAUGUCUGGUGAGGGCUGCUCUCUGCUUCCAAGAUGCUGCCUGGUUGCUGCAUCCUUACACGAUGGAAGAAGAGCAGAAGGGCAACGGGGCCUCGCCAGUUUCCUGCAGCCCUGUUAUAAGGGCAUAAAUUUCAUUUAUAAAGGCUCCACCCUCAUGACCUAAUCAUCCCCAAAGGCCCAGCCUCUUGAUACCAUCAUCUUGGGGUUUAAGUUGCAGCAUAUGAAAUUUUGAGGGAUGCAUAGAUUCGAAGUAUAGGGUACGUAACGGCUUCAUAGCCCUGACUGUUGAGCUGCUCUUCCUCCGUUCUCCCCUGCUGCCAAAUGGUGCUGGAGACUGAGCCGUCUCUUAUCUCUGGACUCUGCUAUGACCAUUGUUCUAGCAGAGUCUAGAGAAAAGAGACUCUCUUGCUGUGCUAAUUGGAGAACAAUGAUCAUUGGUUUGACCAUUUCUCUCCAAUCAGAGAUUAACAGCAGCACAAGAACAACAGCCACAAAGGGAGCCAGCUGUAACUGUGACAUAGUUCCAUCUCCCAGACGUUUUCCUCAGACAACCUGUUUGGAACCUGACUUUUAUUCGGAAGGGGUAUCUGCAUUUGGCAUGAAGUCUGAUGUUUGUACAGGGGGGCUCUCAUGGUGAAUAUAGACUCUGAGAAGCUCUGAGUUAAAUCGAUGGCCCUCUCCAAAGUAACUGAAGUGAGUUUUUUUAACAGACUAAUCUUUUCCCUGAAUUUAUUUUCCUACUUUUGAUUUGUCUUUUUCUGAUUUCCUGUUUUCAUCUAUUCUGUUUAUGUUGUAUGAAAUAUUGUCAUAUUUAGUAUAUUGAUCUGUUUUUUGUGCUAUUUUCUAUUUUAUACUUGGCAUUAUUUUUCAUCUGGUUGAUGGGGGGGGCGUCUAUGCAACUGGCAUUAAUUCAAAGAAGAAAUGUAGUGGCAUAAAAAAAGUUUGAACCUUAGAAGCUGGGCUCUAAGAGGAAUUGAGGUAUGAAAUAAACACAAUAAAUGACAUCCUGAGUUCCUUCUAUCAAGACUAGAAAGUAUUUCCCCAAAAGAGAAUGGCAUCAAGGAGAAAAGAGCAAAGAGACGUGACAAGGGAGAGACGGCUUUGAGAAACACAGGCAGGGCUCGACACAGCCUCUCCAGGAAGCCUGUUCUGUACUAGGCACCCACAUAACCAUCAGCCUUGCUCUCCUUCCUCCAAUCCAUCGCUCAAUGACCACUCCACAGCAAUGGCAUCCAGCUGUCUCCUAACGACUGAAGUUACACUGUGGGGGAAGCGUCCCCUGGCUGGUGCCAGGAUGUAAGUAAACUCUCAGGGAAGGAGGGCAGCAUCCUAGACGUUAUGGAGGGAAAGAGAGACCUGAAUCUAUAGCGGAGACACUUUAUAUUCUGCAGAUUGUAACUGCAGAGUGAUAGGUGUCAUCACCAGAGGACAGCAGGGUGUCACACCAAUGCAAUCACCACUUCAGCCUUGAAAGUUUGCAUUUUAGCUGUAUCAAAAAAUACCGUGAGGGGGAAAAACGUGUAAUCGAUCAA